UACGAAGGGGGCUAGCGUUGCUCGGAAUCACUGGGCGUAAAGCGCACGUAGGCGGCUUCUUAAGUCAGUGGUGAAAUCCUGGAGCUCAACUCCAGAACUGCCUUUGAUACUGAGGAGCUUGAGUCCGGGAGAGGUGAGUGGAACUGCGAGUGUAGAGGUGAAAUUCGUAGAUAUUCGCAAGAACACCAGUGGCGAAGGCGGCUCACUGGCCCGUAACUGACGCUGAGGAGCGAAAGCCAGGGGAGCAAACGGG
rnacentral:rRNA from 1 species